rnacentral:tRNA from 1 species
GCCCAGGUGGCGGAAUUGGUAGACGCGCUGGCUUCAGGGGCCAGUGGCCGCAAGGCCGUGGAGGAUCGAGUCCUCUCCUGGGCACCA